rnacentral:rRNA from 1 species
GUUGAACGCUGGCGGCAUGCCUAACACAUGCAAGUCGAACGAGUGGUGGACGGUUUAGUAACACGUGGGUAACCGACGCAAUGAGGGGGAUAACAUUUAGAAAAAGGCGCUAAUACUGCAUAGUUGGCUGGUCUGGGGGGUGAUUAGCUAGUUGGGCGGGUAACGGCCAACCAAGGCAACGAUGCAUAGCCGGUCUGAGAGGAUGACCGGCCACACUGGGACUGAGACACGGCCCAGACUCCUACGGGAGGCAGCAGUGGGGAAUAUUGCACAAUGGGCGCAAGUCUGAUGGAGCAACGCCGCGUGUGUGAAGAAGGCUUUCGGGUCGUAAAGCACUUUCAGUGGGGAGGCGGUACCCACACAAGAAGCACCGGCUAACUCCGUGCCAGCAGCCGCGGUAAUAC